rnacentral:rRNA from 1 species
ACGAACGCUGGCGGCGUGCUUAACACAUACAAGUCGAACGGAAAGGCCCUGCUUUUGUGGGGUGCCCGAGUGGCGAACGGGUGAGUAACACGUGAGUAACCUGCCCUUGACUUUGGGAUAACUUCAGGAAACUGGGGCUAAUACCGGAUAGGAGCUCCUGCUGCAUGGUGGGGGUUGGAAAGUUUCGGCGGUUGGGGAUGGACUCGCGGCUUAUCAGCUUGUUGGUGGGGUAGUGGCUUACCAAGGCCUUGACGGGUAGCCGGCCUGAGAGGGUGACCGGCCACAUUGGGACUGAGAUACGGCCCAGACUCCUACGGGAGGCAGCAGUGGGGAAUAUUGCACAAUGGGCGGAAGCCUGAUGCAGCAACGCCGCGUGCGGGAUGACGGCCUUCGGGUUGUAAACCGCUUUCGCCUGUGACGAAGCGUGAGUGACGGUAAUGGGUAAAGAAGCACCGGCUAACUACGUG